CAUUAAGAAUCACCAUAAGUGCUCCUUUCGGCAUGGAAUGAUACAGAGAAGAUUAGCAUGGCCCCUGCGCAAGGAUGAUACACAAAUUCGCGAAGCGUUCCAUAUUUUU